CUGCCUGUAGCUCAGUUGGAUAGAGCAACGGACUUCUAAUCCGUCGGUCGGACGUUCGAGUCGUCUCAGGCAGGCCA
rnacentral:tRNA from 3 species